AUUGAACGCUGGCGGCAGGCUUAACACAUGCAAGUCGAGCGGGGUGAUGGUGCUUGCACUAUCACUUAGCGGCGGACGGGUGAGUAAUGCUUAGGAAUCUGCCUAUUAGUGGGGGACAACAUCUCGAAAGGGAUGCUAAUACCGCAUACGUCCUACGGGGGAAAGCAGGGGAUCCCUUGUGACCUUGCCCUAAUAGAUGAGCCUAAGUCGGAUUAGCCAGUGGGUGGGGUAAAAGCCUACCAAGGCGACGACCUGUAGCGGGUCUGAGAGGAUGAUCCGCCACACUGGGACUGAGACACGGCCCAGACUCCUACGGGAGGCAGCAGUGGGGAAUAUUGGACAAUGGGGGGAACCCUGAUCCAGCCAUGCCGCGUGUGUGAAGAAGGCCUUAUGGUUGUAAAGCACUUUAAGCGAGGAGGAGGCUCUUUUGGUUAAUACCCAGAAUGAGUGGACGUUACUCGCAGAAUAAGCACCGGCUAACUCUGUGCCAGCCGCCGCGGUAA
rnacentral:rRNA from 1 species